UACGUAGGGGGCUAGCGUUGUCCGGAAUCAUUGGGCGUAAAGAGCGUGUAGGCGGCCCGGUAAGUCCGCUGUAAAAGUCAAAGGCUCAACCUUUGAAUGUCAGUGGAUACUGCCGGGCUAGAGUCCGGAAGAGGCGAGUGGAACUCCUGGUGUAGCGGUGGAAUGCGCAGAUAUCAGGAAGAACACCCGUGGCGAAGGCGGCCCUCUGGGACGGUACUGACGCUGAGACGCGAAAGCGUGGGGAGCGAACAGG
rnacentral:rRNA from 1 species